rnacentral:rRNA from 1 species
UGACCUACGGGGGGCUGCAGUGGGGAAUCUUCCGCAAUGGGCGAAAGCCUGACGGAGCAACGCCGCGUGAAUGAAGAAGGCCUUCGGGUCGUAAAGUUCUGUCUUUAGGGAAGAAGUCUCUCUAUGUGAAUAAUGUAGAGAGGUGACGGUACUUAAGGAGGAAGCUCCGGCUAACUACGUGCCAGCAGCCGCGGUAAUACGUAGGGAGCAAGCGUUGUCCGGAAUUACUGGGCGUAAAGGGCGCGUAGGCGGGAUAUUAAGUUAGGUGUGAAAACUCCGGGCUCAACUUGGAGACUGCACAUAAAACUGGUAUUCUUGAGGACAGGAGAGGAAAGUGGAAUUCCUAGUGUAGCGGUGAAAUGCGUAGAUAUUAGGAGGAACACCAGUGGCGAAGGCGACUUUCUGGACUGUAACUGACGCUGAGGCGCGAAAGCGUGGGGAGUGAACGGGAUUAGAUACCCCGGUAGUC